UUGUGUUCUCCAUAUUUUUAUAAUGACAGUCUACUGGGAAUUGUGUCCAGAAGCAGCAGCACAUUAUUGAAUAUUUUCUUUCCCAUCUGUCUUGCCUCCAUCUUCAAUCAAUCAAUCAAUCAAAGAAAGGAAGAAAGGAAGGACGGAAGGAAGGAAGGAAGGAGAAGGAAAGAAAGANUCUUGCCUCCAUCUUCAAUCAAUCAAUCAAUCAAAGAAAGGAAGAAAGGAAGGAAGGAGAAGGAAAGAAAGAAAAGAAAGAAAGAAAGAAGAAAGGACGGAAGGAAGGAAACAUUCCUUAUGUUACUAAAGAAAUGGAGGAUUCUAUUUCCUGAAAUACCUAGAGUAUUUGGGAUUGCAAAUUUUCAUGAACUCCUAUCAUCAGUAGCAGCUACAAAAUUUAACUGGUCACCUACUACAUGCAAGACACUAUGAGGAGAAUUCAGUAGCAUAAAAAUAUGUAGACAAUUUUACUCUCAGCUUAAAACCAAGGUAAGAAAAACAUACUAGUAUACAAAAAUAUAAAUCAACAUUUACUAAGCACCAAGUCACAAAAAUUAGUGAAGUUGUUAAAAAUGAGACUCUGAUGGUGCCCUUUUACAAUUUCAUUUCUUCUCCUCUUGACUGAUAGCUUUUUUUAAAUCUUAGUACAACAUUACAACAUACCUUUUAUAGGAGUCAUUAACUAUUGUUAAUUUAAGAAACUUUACUCUUGCCCUCAAGCAAAGAGAGUUGAUUUUGAA
rnacentral:lncRNA from 1 species